GGGGUUGUAGCUCAGCGGUAGAGCACUCGCCUGGCACGUGCCAGGCCCUGGGUUUGAUCCUCAGCACCACA
rnacentral:tRNA from 1 species